GACGAACGCUGGCGGCGUGCCUAACACAUGCAAGUCGAACGGAGAUUGCAUUUAUGCAGUCUUAGUGGCGAACGGGUGAGUAACGCGUAGACAACCUACCACUUAGAUGGGGACAACACUGCGAAAGUGGUGCUAAUACCGAAUGUUGUAUCGAAGCUGCAUAGCUUUGCUACUAAAGAUGGCCUCUAUUUAUAAGCUAUCGCUAAGUGAUGGGUCUGCGUCUGAUUAGCUAGUUGGUGAGGUAAUGGCUCACCAAGGCUACGAUCAGUAGCCGGUCUGAGAGGAUGAACGGCCACACUGGGACUGAGACACGGCCCAGACUCCUACGGGUGCAG
rnacentral:rRNA from 1 species